rnacentral:rRNA from 1 species
GACGAACGCUGGCGGCGUGCCUCAGACAUGCAAGUCGAACGAUUAAAGCUCUCUUCGGAGAGUGUAUAGAGUGGCGCACGGGUGAGUAACACGUAAGUAAUCUACCCUCGAGUGGGGAAUAACAACCGGAAACGGUUGCUAAUACCGCAUAAUGCAGCGGCACCGCAAGGUGACAGUUGUUAAAGAUUUAUCGCUUGAGGAGGAGCUUGCGGCAGAUUAGCUAGUUGGUAGGGUAACGGCUUACCAAGGCUACGAUCUGUAACCGGUCUAAGAGGACGGUCGGUCACACUGACACUGAAUAACGGGUCAGACUCCUACGGGAGGCAGCAGUCGGGAAUUUUGGGCAAUGGGCGAAAGCCUGACCCAGCAACGCCGCGUGAAGGAUGAAGUAUUUCGGUAUGUAAACUUCGAAAGAAUAGGAAGAAUUAAUGACGGUACUAUUUAUAAGGUCCGGCUAACUACGUG